rnacentral:rRNA from 1 species
UACGUAGGGGGCAAGCGUUGUCCGGAUUUAUUGGGCGUAAAGAGCGUGUAGGCGGCCAGGUAGGUCAGCUGUGAAAACUCGAGGCUCAACCUCGAGACGCCGGUUGAAACCAUCUGGCUAGAGUCCGGAAGAGGAGAGUGGAAUUCCUGGUGUAGCGGUGAAAUGCGCAGAUAUCAGGGAGAACACCCGUGGCUAAGGCGGCUCUCUAGUACGGUACUGACGCUGAGACGCGAAAGCGUGGGGAGCGAACAGG